UGAACGCUGGCGGCAGGCCUAACACAUGCAAGUCGAGCGGCAGCGGGAAAGUAGCUUGCUACUUUUGCCGGCGAGCGGCGGACGGGUGAGUAAUGCCUGGGGAUCUGCCCAGUCGAGGGGGAUAACAGUUGGAAACGACUGCUAAUACCGCAUACGCCCUACGGGGGAAAGGAGGGGACCUUCGGGCCUUUCGCGAUUGGAUGAACCCAGGUGGGAUUAGCUAGUUGGUGGGGUAAUGGCUCACCAAGGCGACGAUCCCUAGCUGGU
rnacentral:rRNA from 1 species